UACGUAGGGUGCAAGCGUUGUCCGGAAUUAUUGGGCGUAAAGCGCGCGCAGGCGGUUUCUUAAGUCUGAUGUGAAAGCCCACGGCUCAACCGUGGAGGGUCAUUGGAAACUGGGAAACUUGAGUGCAGAAGAGAAGAGUGGAAUUCCACGUGUAGCGGUGAAAUGCGUAGAGAUGUGGAGGAACACCAGUGGCGAAGGCGACUCUUUGGUCUGUAACUGACGCUGAGGCGCGAAAGCGUGGGGAGCAAACAGG
rnacentral:rRNA from 1 species